AAGCUAUGGCUCACAAUGGGUUACAGCAAUCACAGAAGACCAUCUUGCCCUGAGGUUGGCAACCCCUGAGAGAGAAAUGGGACUUGCCUUCUGAAACAGAGCAGGAUAAACUCAGCUGUGGCUGUUUGGAAAGUUUGGGAGCCAUCCAGUGCGCACCAUGCAGCUCUGACAGAAGACUCAUUUCUCCUCCAAGUAUCCUUUUGUUUCUGCCUACUGGGAGGCCACAAGCGCAGAGUCAGGAUGAACCUGUGGCUCUAACUGGACCUCGCCCUGUGUUGCAAGUGCUUCCCGUGACCUACAGAAAGGAGGCUUGGUCGCUGCACGUAUGUUGUCUCACCUCCUUGUAGGGGGCCUUAAAGGUGGUCUGUGACGGAAAUGCCAUUCCAAGAUGAUCAAGGAAGCACAGAAACAGAGGACUUCCUCCCCGUGUAUAUGAACUCAAGGGCUGAGGCCCCUCCAGGCUGCAGCCCCUCUGGAUGCCUGUAUCCCAAUCCUCACUGCCUUGCCCGAACCUUCUGAGAGUAUUGAUUGACAGCUGAAGAGGUGUUCAUCUGGGCUGAAGUCAAGUUGAUGAAAGCUGCAGUUUAGAUUGUAGGCUGGGAGUAGGGUUCUGCAUAAAAACAAUAAGAAACAAAAAAAUGGAUUAAAGGACAUGGUGGUUU
rnacentral:lncRNA from 1 species